AAGAUGGAAUUCAGCUUGAAGAGCCUCCUGGGCUUCAUCAGAGAGAUCAUUGAAAAACCAGAGGGCUUCUAGGCGGUAGCAUUUCCUGAUAUAUGCAGUGCACCCUGCAGAACUGGACUUGAAAGGCAAAGAAGGCAGACAGGUGUCUCUGUCACUGGAAUGUUCUUGAACCCACAUCCAUGGGAGUUUUCCCUAAUGCUGUCCAUGCUUUGAAGUAGUGUUUAAUUGCCCCCUACUCUGUGAGGAGGCAUCGGGGAAGUACCGUUUCAUGGUAGCCUGGGACCCAGCUGCACGCUCCAGGGUCCAGGCCAGUCCAGGAGGUCCCCAGGCCUUGGAACCCUGGAGUUUCCCAGAACUUCUUGGCUGUCUUCCUGCUGAAUCCACAGUCCCCUUCUUGCAGAACGACAGAGCACAGGUUCAGAUUCUCCGUAGGGACCCUGUGCCUUUCCCACUGGGCUGACUCGCUUCGCCAUGGUGGAGCUUUAUAAGACCUGGCAAGAUAAGGGCUCCCGCAGUCUAGCCUCAGCUGGCAGAGAGCCUCCCAGCUCUUGGUUCUGCAAGUUACUGACCUGGGAGCCCCAUCACGGGGACUCCAAGCAGAUGUCCUAGCUUGGGUGCUGCUGAGAGCUUGUAAACAGGUGUACCUGCCUUGCUGGAAUGACCCAGGCAUUUGAAGUCACCGACUCAGACCACAACGGAAGAGAAGAAUAAUUUAUCUCACGAGCGCAGUAAAUGCAGUCCGAUGUCUUGAACGUAAGCCAUCGAUCAUUCUUUAAAGUAGAGGAGAUGUGUGUCAGCAGAGAAACGGUCUCUCUUAUGAGGCACAAAUUCCACGAAUGUGUGUACUAUUGAUUCUCCGUCAAAGACGCCACGUUCCUAUCUGCGGGACGUCGAUGUGUCCAGCCAAGCCCUCGCCUCUGAGAUAAUUGCACGUGACACUUGGGCAUCUACAUCCUGAAGCCUUGGCGCCCAAGUUUCUACUCCCCCUAAGGUGAGGAGGGCAGCCUGCAGCCCCCACAAUGAGACCCGCUUCUUUCUGCCCGUUCAUGGAGUGACUCGGAGGCCAGAGAGCUGAUUUGCCGAAGGACCACUUGGUAGAGAGCCUCUGGGUGGAUAGCUGCGCAGAUGCCAUUGGAUCACCUUCUCCAUCGCUAGUUAGCCAUGAGGCAACCUGUGAUCAUCCAGCCAGGACAUGCCAGACACUCAGACGCCAGCCAGCAUCAGAGCUGUCCCUCACCCUCAAGAGCCCUCACGUCACGUCCACUAUUUUCCUGCAGAAAGACGGUUCAGCAUCCCGGCUCUCACUUGCAGGACUCUCAGACGUGGCUUUUCCCAGGACGUCACUUACUGCUCUCAGAAAAAUGCGGGUGGCUGUUGGAAGGAGCGCUGCAAAGGAGGUGGAGUGAGGCUGGGGGCUGUGGAUGGAUGUCCUCAAGAAGGCUGGACAGGCAUGGACUGUGCAGACCCCAAGGCAGUGGACGAAGCAGGCUGGCAUCCAGGAACCCCACGUGAGGCUCCCGCAGCAGAGAGGCUCUUCACGUUUCUCAAGACACGUUGGCGGAUUCUCGAAUGGAUGUUGGAGCAGCCAUCACGUCAUUGCCAAGCUCCGUCUCACUGAGAGGCCCACACAGAAACGAGAAUAACCUUGUGGCCCCUGCAGCAGGAGAUGCUGGUGUGUGUCCUCAUUUGAGAACCUUCCUCUUGUCAACCAUCGCUGAAACCUGAUCCCAACGAGGAGAAGGGAAGAAGAUAGGACUGUUCCUUUGUACGUGCAUGGAGCGCCAUUUGUGCCCCCAGGUGGAUAAGUAAGAAAGUUUUUUGAAUCAGAUGCACCAAGUUCAGAUGCUCAGCUCCUUCCCUGGAAGUUUAGAACCUUACAGCCCCUAUUAUUUGGAUUCCUUGUCUGUAAAACAUGACAAGCCAUCCAUCCUAGGCAAGGUCAUGGUGAAGGUGAAAGAGAUAAACACAAUUAUGUACAGAGUGCAUAACCAAGCUCCUGGCACAGAGUAGAUGUUUUAGAAAGAGAAUUAUCCUUUGAGUUUUAAACAGUUGUUUUCACCAUAAGGAGAUUUCCAGGAGAGUAUAAGAUACCUGACACUGACCCAUCAAAACUGUGUCUAGGUCUUAAAAAAAAAAAAAAAAAAAAA
rnacentral:lncRNA from 9 species